rnacentral:rRNA from 1 species
GACGGAGGGUGCUAGCGUUGUUCGGAAUUACUGGGCGUAAAGGCGCGUAGGCGGCCCUGUCAGUCGGGUGUGAAAGCCCGGGGCUCAACCCCGGAACGGCACCCGAGACGGCGGGGCUGGAGACCGGGAGAGGAGGGUGGAAUAGCCAGUGUAGAGGUGAAAUUCGUAGAUAUUGGCUGGAACACCGGUGGCGAAAGCGGCUCUCUGGCCCGGUUCUGACGCUGAGGCGCGAAAGCGUGGGGAGCAAACAGG